GCUUAUAAAUAAGGGGUUAUGGUUCCCAUUUGAAGCAAGACUAAUUCUCUUCUUCUUCCCAUUGAAAUUAGAGAGCAAAUCCUUUGUCUUGCACAUCAAGUGGAAAGCCAAACCCGGACAAUCUCCAACCCGGAUCAAGGUAAUCUUCAAGCAGGAUUAAGGAGCUUCCACCAAUGAAUUCAGGUACGCUUCCGCUUAUGUUUUAGUUCCAAAUAAUUCGAUAUGA
rnacentral:lncRNA from 1 species